rnacentral:piRNA from 1 species
UUGAUGAAUUGGCCUUGAUAU